UACAGAGGGUGCGAGCGUUGUCCGGAAUCACUGGGCGUAAAGGGCGCGUAGGCGGCCUGGUAAGUAGGGGGUGAAAUCCCGCGGCUCAACCGCGGGGCUGCCCCCUAGACUGCCGGGCUUGAGCAGAGCAGAGGCUAGCGGAAUUCCCGGUGUAGCGGUGGAAUGCGUAGAGAUCGGGAAGAACAUCGGUGGCGAAGGCGGCUAGCUGGGCUCUUGCUGACGCUGAGGCGCGACAGCGUGGGGAGCAAACAGG
rnacentral:rRNA from 1 species